rnacentral:lncRNA from 1 species
GUUGAGCUCUGGGAGGCGAGCACGCAAGCGUCAGGGCUCCGCGCCACCUGCUGGCCAGACGAGGUAGUGCGGCGCCCGCUGGGCGAACUCCUGGCGCUCCGCUCUUCAAAGUGAUCCACACCAGACCUGAAGUUAAGUCAGCCCUGCUAAGAAAAGACCGAAUUAUCUUUCUCUACAUAGAGAAUUAAAGGGUGAAACUGUUACCACAUGGGGACCAAGGGUAUGAAGCUGUAAUGUACUGGAAGGAAGAAAAAGCAGCUCGGAGCUGCCUCAGGAAGUCGCUCUCAACAGUCACGGAACCGCCGCUGUUGUUACUGUUAUAGAGCGCUCAAUCGUAUGAGCCUCCGCCUCACAACGUCUAGAUGUCCUUUGGGCACACUCCAGGCUGAUCGGCAAAGACACAGAACAAGCUGGGAGACCCAGCUGCCAGAACGGCUCCUUCACUCACUGGCUUCGCAGCUGGGCGCCCACAGGAGUUUCUCUCCAGCCCCGGCAUGCACUCUUACGCAGGCUCCCUUUACCUGUGUGUGCACUUGAGCUGUCUGGUGGCCACGCAGAAAACUGACCGAGGCUCCCUGAACAACAGAAGCUAAAGCUUGAGAGUGUUGCCUUCCACUUCCUUAUGAAGCACCUGGGGUCCUCAAGUCAGUCUGCCCCAAAGUAGAAACACGCCAGGAACACUAGCAAGUGAGGACAAGUAGAAAGAACUGGGUCCUCCAGUGCAGACAAGGUGACUGGAAAGGAAGGACAGAAUUGCUUAGAGCAAUUUGGGGAGGCUCAUGCCUGUGCAAGGGUUUGCAAGACUUGACUGAAAUUGACAAAGAGCAAGACACAAGGUGCAGAUGAAAGGAUCUGUCUUGGAGAGCGAGGCCAAGGAAUCCAUGAGGGAUUGAACACAGGACCUUGCGCUUUCGAGGCAGGUGGCAGAACCGCUGAGCUAAAUCCCCAGCCCUGCAUUUCUAAGAGUAUAAAAUAUAAAUGUAUUCCAUAACAACAGUAUAGUAAUUUAGUAUAUGAAUGUUAAUAUUAACCC